UACGUAGGGGGCAAGCGUUGUCCGGAUUUAUUGGGCGUAAAGAGCGUGUAGGCGGCCAGGUAGGUCAGCUGUGAAAACUCGAGGCUCAACCUCGAGACGUCGGUUGAAACCACCUGGCUAGAGUCCGGAAGAGGAGAGUGGAAUUCCUGGUGUAGCGGUGAAAUGCGCAGAUAUCAGGAAGAACACCAAUGGCGAAAGCAGCUCUCUGGGACGGUACUGACGCUGAGACGCGAAAGCGUGGGGAGCGAACAGG
rnacentral:rRNA from 1 species